GACGAACGCUGGCGGCGUGCUUAACACAUGCAAGUCGAACGGUGAACGAGGGAGCUUGCUCCCUCCGGAUCAGUGGCGAACGGGUGAGUAACACGUGAGCAAUCUGCCCCGAACUCUGGGAUAAGCGUUGGAAACGACGUCUAAUACCGGAUACGAUGUGGGAGGGCAUCCUCCCCGCGUGGAAAGAACUUCGGUUCGGGAUGAGCUCGCGGCCUAUCAGCUUGUUGGUGAGGUAACGGCUCACCAAGUCGACGACGGGUAGCCCGCCUGCGGGGGGGACCGGCCACACUGGGACUGAGACACGGCCCAGACUCCUACGGGAGGCAGCAGUGGAGAAUAUUGCACAAUGGGCGCAAGCCUGAUGCAGCAACGCCGCGAGAGGGACGACGGCCUUCGGGUUGUAAACCUCUUUUAGCAUAGAAGAAGCGAAAGUGACGGUACCUGCAGAAAAAGCACCGGCUAACUACGUG
rnacentral:rRNA from 1 species